rnacentral:rRNA from 1 species
UACGGAGGGUGCAAGCGUUGUCCGGAUUUAUUGGGUUUAAAGGGUGCGUAGGCGGCCUUUUAAGUCAGCGGUGAAAGACCCCGGCUCAACCGGGGCAGUGCCGUUGAUACUGGGAGGCUUGAGUGUUGGAGGGGUACAUGGAAUUGACGGUGUAGCGGUGAAAUGCAUAGAUACCGUCAGGAACACCGAUAGCGAAGGCAUUGUACUGGCCAACAACUGACGCUGAGGCACGAAAGCAUGGGGAGCGAACAGG